rnacentral:rRNA from 1 species
AGAGUUUGAUCCUGGCUCAGAACGAACGCUGGCGGCAGGCCUAACACAUGCAAGUCGAGCGAUCCCUUCGGGGAUAGCGGCGGACGGGUUAGUAACGCGUGGGAACGUGCCCUUCACUACGGAAUAGCCUCUGGAAACGGAGAUUAAUACCGUAUACGCCCUUCGGGGGAAAGAUUUAUCGGUGAAGGAUCGGCCCGCGUCUGAUUAGAUAGUUGGUGGGGUAAUGGCCUACCAAGUCUACGAUCAGUAGCUGGUUUGAGAGGAUGAUCAGCAACACUGGGACUGAGACAUGGCCCAGACUCCUACGGGAGGCAGCAGUGGGGAAUCUUAGACAAUGGGCGCAAGCCUGAUCUAGCCAUGCCGCGUGAGUGAUGAAGGUCUUAGGAUCGUAAAGCUCUUUCGCCAGGGAUGAUAAUGACAGUACCUGGUAAAGAAACCCCGGCUAAYUCCGUGCCAGCAGCCGCGGUAAUACGGAGGGGGUUAGCGUUGUUCGGAAUUACUGGGCGUAAAGCGCGCGUAGGCGGAUUGAAAAGUUGGGGGUGAAAUCCCGGGGCUCAACCCCGGAACUGCCUCCAAAACUAUCAWUCUAGAGUUCGAGAGAGGUGAGUGGAACUCCGAGUGUAGAGGUGAAAUUCGUAGAUAUUCGGAAGAACACCAGUGGCGAAGGCGGCUCACUGGCUCGAUACUGACGCUGAGGUGCGAAAGUGUGGGGAGCAAACAGGAUUAGAUACCCUGGUAGUCCACACCGUAAACGAUGAAUGCCAGUUGUCGGAUAGCAUGCUAUUCGGUGACACACCUAACGGAUUAAGCAUUCCGCCUGGGGAGUACGGUCGCAAGAUUAAAGCUCAAGGA